rnacentral:rRNA from 1 species
UCUUGGUCANNNUGAGGAAGUAAAAGUCGUAACAAGGUUUCCGUAGGUGAACCUGCGGAAGGAUCAUUAUCGAAUUAUAAGCGAGGGUUGUCGCUGGCCUCGAAAGNGGCAUGUGCACGCCCGAGCUCUUAAAUCCACAACACACCUGUGAACCCACCGUAGGCCUUCGGGCUUAUGUAUCAUAUACUCUGAAUGUGUCAUAGAAUGUUCAUGUUGCCUUAAAACGCAAUCAAAUACAACUUUCAACAACGGAUCUCUUGGCUCUCGCAUCGAUGAAGAACGCAGCGAAAUGCGAUAAGUAAUGUGAAUUGCAGAUUUUCAGUGAAUCAUCGAAUCUUUGAACGCACCUUGCGCUCCUUGGUAUUCCGAGGAGCAUGCCUGUUUGAGUGUCAUUAAAUUCUCAACCCCACCGAUUUGCUUCGGGGGGAUUGGACUUGGAGCGUGCUGGCGAAGGUCGGCUCCUCUUUAAAUGCAUCAGUGGAGAGAAACUUGCCCCAGUGUGAUAAUCCUGUUGCGCUGUGGUGGGNGAAAGUCUGCUACCAACCGUCCCUCNGGGGACAUACNUCAUCUUAUUUUGACCUCCAAUCAUGUAGGACUACCCGCUGA